rnacentral:rRNA from 1 species
ACAGAGGGUGCAAACGUUGUUCGGAAUUACUGGGCGUAAAGCGCGUGUAGGCGGCUAUGCAAGUCGGAUGUGAAAGCCCACGGCUCAACCGUGGAAGUGCACUCGAAACUGCGUAGCUAGAGUCCCGGAGAGGAAGGUGGAAUGCUUGGUGUAGAGGUGAAAUUCGUAGAUAUCAAGCGGAACACCGGUGGCGAAGGCGGCCUUCUGGACGGUGACUGACGCUGAGACGCGAAAGCGUGGGGAGCAAACAGG